AUUGAACGCUGGCGGCAGGCUUAACACAUGCAAGUCGAGCUAGCGGCGGACGGGUGAGUAAUGUCUGGGAAACUUCCUGAUGGAGGGGGAUAACUACUGGAAACGGUAGCUAAUACCGCAUACCAUCAGAUGUGCCCAGAUGGGCUUAGCUAGUAGUCGGGGUAAUGGCUCACCUAGGCGACGAACCCUAGCUGGUCUGAGAGGAUGACCGCCCACACUGGAACUAAGACACGGUCCAGACUCCUACGGGAGGCAGGAGUAGGGAAUCUUCCGCAAGUGGCGAAAGCCUGAUGCAGCCAUGCCGCGUGUGUAAAGAAGGCCUUCGGGUUGUAAAGCACUUUCAGCGAGGAGGCGUUACUCGCAGAAGAAGCACCGGCUAGCUCCGUGCCAGCAGCCGCGGUAAUUC
rnacentral:rRNA from 1 species